AUCUUAAAAAAUAACUAAAGUGUCAAAUAUAUCGAUAUUUUGGAUGUGGGAAACGACAUAAGAGCGUAAAGAUGUGGUGUUGGCGGAAGCGAUGUUUUUAGUAUCGAUCCGCACAUCAUUGAGUUAGUCCUGCUGCCAUGUUAGCAUUUUAGCCACUUUAAUCCUUUCCUGACUACUCUACUAAACUAACCCUAUUAUUCUUUAAGACCUAAUUUAGCACUUUAUUUCCAUAUGUCAGCAUACUAACUGUUAGCAACUCCCAAACGAAUCGGUCUGGAAGUAGCAUCUGUUGCUAGCAUGCUAAGUUGUUAGCAGUUUGAAGGCUACUCUGCCGCCGUCCGACUUCAAACUCCUCACACUUGUGCUAUUUUAAAAAGUUUUCGUUUUCCACCAGACGGUGGCAGCAGACGACCAGUUCACAGGGCUCUCAUCACUCCCGCGCAGCCGCAGAAGCCCUCCCUUGCCGAACGGAUGCUGAGAAUAGACCGAGCAGGAAUGCCUAUAUAUGGACAUGGAGCCUCACAGAUGCACCCGGCGAAUGUGGAAUGUGCCACUUGGGAGUAGAUUAUUCUCCAUGUGGUCCCGAUCUAAAAUGAGUUUGACGCCCCUGGAUUAAGGUGCGAUAGGACAUCAGCACCACGGACAGCGACUAAGCAGGUUUCAGCACCGCGGACAGCAUUUUUCCCGCACACUUGUUGACGCUCUCUUACCGGUUGAAGUGAGGAAGACGGACUUCCUGGUGUACAUGCAGGCCAGAGACAUGAUGUGCAGGUACGACAGCCGGGCUUUGUCCGUGUCCGAGAUGGGCAACAAGUCCUUCAGGUUCCGGAUCUCGGCGUUGAUCUGGUCCCGUCGAGCCUUGGACGCUCCCUUGGUGGAGCGAUACAUGCUGGCUUGACGCUGCAGUGCAGGCUGGGAGCUCCCAAGAAAAGAAGACGCUGGAAGCCCCUCCUAACAGGAGGCACUUGAACGUCUCAUUUUGGAGCAGCAAGAGAACAUUGAGCAUCUUCUGGUGAAUGGAGGUCAGCAGUAAAAACAGACACAAUGACAAUGAAUGGAUUAUCACCAUCCACGCUCAUCCAUCGAGCUGCAAAUCUCCAUCCUGAUGUCAAGUCAAGUGAUGAAUGAAUGAACGAAUGAAUGAAUGAAUAGGGCGCGCGAAGCAUCCUGCAGCAGACACGUGAGAGAAGCUGCUCUUUCUAAAAAUAGCUCUGCUACCUAUCCAUCUACUGUAUCUGUCUUAACGGCGCCCCCUGCAGCCACCAUCUUGCUAUCCACAUCACCAAAAAGGAUGCAAAUGCAAAACACACGUGAUUUUGUCCACAACUGCGUUAUUGUUAUUAAGUCUGAUUUCUUUCACACAUUUGGAGGGAGAUUGUGGAGGCUGUAAUGUUGUUGUUUGAUUUCUAGGUAUUCUUUCAUUGCCCUUUUCGAAAAUAGUUACCUGGAUCCAUGGAGAACGGGAGGCUUCUAUAGAGGUUGAGUUGAUCCAGCUAAAAAAAUGGGGGGCAGAGAAUAGCAUCUCUUGUGGUUGGAGGGCGCCGCCGUGGAGUCUUCGGCUCGUGCCUAAUAAAGUGGCCAUUGAUGGUCAUCGUGUGGAUGGCUCAAUCAGAGUCAUUCCCUUCAUUGCCC